rnacentral:rRNA from 1 species
UGGGGAAUAUUGGACAAUGGGGGGAACCCUGAUCCAGCCAUGCCGCGUGUGUGAAGAAGGUCUUCGGAUUGUAAAGCACUUUAAGUUGGGAGGAAGGGCAGUAAGCGAAUACCUUGCUGUUUUGACGUUACCGACAGAAUAAGCACCGGCUAACUCUGUGCCAGCAGCCGCGGUAAUACAGAGGGUGCAAGCGUUAACCGGAAUUACUGGGCGUAAAGCGCGCGUAGGUGGUUCGUUAAGUUGAAUGUGAAAGCCCCGGGCUCAACCUGGGAACUGCAUCCAAAACUGGCGAGCUAGAGUAGGGCAGAGGGUGGUGGAAUUUCCUGUGUAGCGGUGAAAUGCGUAGAUAUAGGAAGGAACACCAGUGGCGAAGGCGACCACCUGGGCUCAUACUGACACUGAGGUGCGAAAGCGUGGGGAGCAAACAGG